UACAGAGGGUGCGAGCGUUAAUUGGAAUUACUGGGCGUAAAGCGUGCGUAGACGGUUAUUUAAGUCGGGUGUGAAAGCCCCGGGCUCAACCUGGGAAUUGCAUUCGAGACUGAAUAGCUAGGGUACGGUAGAGGGAAGCGGAAUUUCCGGUGUAGCGGUGAAAUGCGUAGAUAUCGGAAGGAACAUCAGUGGCGAAAGCGGCUUCCUGGACCAGUACCGACGUUCAGGCACGAAAGCGUGGGGAGCAAACAGG
rnacentral:rRNA from 1 species